rnacentral:misc_RNA from 1 species
UGACCAUCAAUGCGCCCGCGGAUGCCGUGACCAGCAGUGCCACGAUCAAUCCGACGAGUCCGGGUUCACGCCACUCACUUGACGACCAGAUGAACGCCGACACGAUGGCUGCAGCAGAAGGACUGGGCAGGCCUUCGAAGUACCGCUUGUCCUGCGCGGAACGGGUGUUGAAACGCGCCAGGCGCAGCGCCGCGCAAACGGCAUAGAAGAACGCGGCAAGCCAGCCUGCCCGGCCCCACUCCAUGCCGUAUUCGAACAACCGUGCCACGCCCCACUGGUAGGCAACGAUCGCCGGAGCGACCCCGAAGGAGACCAUGUCCGCGAGGCUGUCGUAUUCCUUUCCAAACGCACUCUCUGUUCUCGUCAUGCGCGCGACCCGCCCGUCAAGCGUGUCGAACACCAUGGCCGCGAACACGGCGAACCCGGCGCGUUCAAAGUUGCCGUCGAUCGCCGCGACAAUGGCGUAGAAGCCCGAGAACAGGCAGCCCGUUGUCAGCAGGUUUGGCAGCAGGUAGAUGGUGCGGCUGCGCGGGCGUUCGAUUUCCGGUUCCGGUUUGAUUUCUGGUUCCAUGAGUGCCGCGAUCAUAGGGCCAGCACUGCCGCGCCACAAUGAUGCUGCGCGGCGGCCCGCGUGCGGUGCUGCUAGACUUCGCGGCAUGCGAAUGUCCCGAUAUCCCCUCAAUACCGCGAAGGAAACCCCGGCUGAAGCGGAAGUCAUCAGCCACAAGCUGAUGCUGCGCGCGGGCCUGAUCCGCCGCCUUGCGGCCGGCAUCUAUACCUUCCUGCCCAUGGGCCUGCGCGCCCUGCGCAAGGUGGAGCGCAUCAUCCGCGAGGAAAUGGACCGGGCCGGCGCACUGGAGUUGCUGAUGCCUGCCGUGCAGCCAGCCGAGUUGUGGCAGGAGUCCGGACGCUGGGAACAGUACGGUCCGGAGCUGCUGCGCCUGAAGGACCGCCAUGACCGCGACUUCGUGAUCGGUCCCACCCACGAGGAGGUCAUCACGGACAUUGCCCGCCGUGACCUCAAGAGCUAUCGCCAGCUACCCGUCAAUUUCUACCAGAUCCAGA